rnacentral:rRNA from 1 species
AGUUUGAUCCCCGAAACUAAAUGAGCUACUUCGGAAUAGUCAUAAGAACAAACCCGUCUCUGUCGCAAAAGAGUGGGAUAAUUCCCAAGUAGAGGCGACAAACCUACCGCACUUAGAGAUAGCUGGUUACUCAAGAAAAGAAUUUUAGUUCAACCUUAAGUUUCUAAAUUAAACAAAAAACAAAACUUUAGAGCCACUCAAAUAAGGCACAGCUUAUUUGAAACAGAACACAACCUACAAUACAGGGUAACAUUUAGUAAACUAAUAACAAGUGGGCCUAAAAGCAGCCACCUUUCAAAAAGCGUUAAAGCUUCCUACCUAUACUACUCCAAUACCCCCCCCAUUUACUAACCCUUCACCUAUAUUGAGUAACUCCAUAAACUUAUGGAAAUUAUUAUGCUAGAACUAGUAACAAGAAAUAGAUUUUCUCCUAAAUAUAAGCUUAAGCCACAGUAGACAAACUACUGGCAAUUAACGCAAAUGAACAUCUUGCAGCAACCCCAACAAGAAAACCCUGUACCAACAUAACGUUACCCUUACACUAGAAUAUUUAAGGAAAGAUUAAAAGA